GAGCGCAACCGGGGACACCCUGCGGGGUGCUGGCCCCACAGCCAAGUCUGUGCAAUGGGGCUGCGUUCUUUAGGUGUCCAUACGGUGGCCUAGCGUUCAGGGAACAGUCCGCAGCGCUGGAAAGGGACAGAAACUAGGGAUCGUAUGAUGAGCCCUUAUGGCUUCCUUGGAGGAUCGCACGCAGCCAGGUGGAGAGGCUCAAGAACAGGACUAAGGAGCAAGAAGCUGGCCAAGUCAGUCAUCAAGGCCUUCAGGACCUCGCGAGUUCCGCUGCAUAUGACCGAGAGUCUGGAAACUGCAGGGUCUCUGGGUGGGCGGGGCCCCAGUGACAGCCUGGCCAGUACCCAGUAUCAGGGUAGCCAGUCUCCAACUGCACUUUGGAACAGGACAGGGGGUGGGGCCAGUUGGCCCACUCAGGCCGGGUCUUGAGGCUGCAGAGGGCUGCUGGUCCUCCCGCCCAAUGUUGGUGAGUGGAUGGGAGAAGCCGUUUGAGUGCCCUAAGACAAGCUAUUGUUGGGGCAAGACAGCGACAACCCAGAGCAGGCCCUGAUAGACCUUCCAAACAGGGAGUAAGCUCCGCUCAUUUCUCAACUGCCCCAUACAAUCCUUUCAGACUCCAAGAGGGGAAAGGUUGCAGCCCUGGCCCUGGGUUUUGGAGACCCUGCCUUUGAUAUUGGUCCUCUGAAUGGCCCUUCUAGAACCUCGCUAUCGCUAGGGAGUUAAUCCUUUCUGCACCAGGCAGGGUUCCCUCCAGCAGGCUGUUACACAAGAGGCCCAUAUGGAGACGAGUGGCAGGUAUUUGCUGUGCAACUUGUCACCAUCUCCCCCAUACAGCUUCUUGAUCCCCCAAGGGGCCUGGCUUCCAGGUGACCUCUGCCUUCCUUGCUCCUUAGUGACACACAUCUUUGUUCUGGGGGUCUCGGAUCUGUCCCUGUUGUUCACUUUCAUACCUGUGCUUUGUGGUCACCUCUCCUCUUCUGGCUUCCUCUGCCACAUUCAUGCAGCUCAACAGGAGGCAGGAUGGGCUUAGGGCUGAGAGACUGCCAGGCCCUCUCUACUUGAUCACAAGGCACAGUGAGUUUACUGUCCCAGGACCAGUUGAAAAGCUUAGUGCUAGGCUAGUGGCCAGGAGGGGCCUGGAUUCCAGUUCUUGUUUGGAUUGAUCCCCCUGAGCCUGUCCUUUUCUGUGGGCAGACUAUGGUGUCACCUCCCAUUUGCCCUGCCUAGGGAAAGGGGGAAGGAGGCAGAAGACAUUAAAUGGGGUGACAUUUAAAAUAGAUGCUGACCCUGAAGUGCCAGAAUUCUAUUUUGGCUAAGUGGCUGUUGGGGAAGGAAGGUGAUGAAAACCAGAGAUGCCCUCUAACCUGCUGGUGUCUACAGGGGCCCGGAAUAGGAAAUGGUGUCUGGAGGGGGACAUUUCCAGCCAUAACGGGCAGGGAAACUAUGGCAGACCCCCAGCUGGGAGAGCCCAGGUCUCCCCUAUAUCUUAGACUUUGCUUGGGAGAACAGCAUGCUAGCUUGAAUUCUGCCCUCCAACAGCUGCUCCCGUGUGCUUUUUGUUCGAGUGGGUUCUGGUCUGCCACGAGGCGAGUGGGUUACUUGUCACAGAGUUGGCCAGAUGGGAGGAGGCCGCAUUGUUUGGCAAGCAGCCACUGGAUGGGCUUUCUGAGGUGAAUCAUACAGGGAGCCAGUGCAGGCGAGGCUUGCCGUGAAAGGGUUCAACGUGGCCAGAGCCACGGAAGAGAAAGAAGCUUUCUGAAGCCACCGUGAGUGCAGAGUGUGGAAGGCUUUCCUGGGUUCCCAGUGAGCUUUAAGGGGUGCCAAUAGGAAAGCUCGGGUUUGAGAACAGCAGAGACAGCCUGAACCAGACAGGCCCCAUAGAAGCAGAGCUGGGGUAGAGGCCAGAAAAGGAGCCCAAAUUGGCAAGGGGCUCAGCUCAGUGUGACCCCAGGGAUCACAACAAUUCUGUCUUCAGGUCCUUGGCCAUCUGCUUCCAGGAAGGUAGACUAGCUAAUGGGAACAUGGCACCAGAGGACACUGCUGAGGACUGAGGGGGUAGUAUGCCCAGGACCACCACCUUGUCAGCUGUUGCAGGACACUUACUUGAGCCCCUUCUCCAGAAGCAGCCCCUUGAAGGUCAGCUCCACACAGAAAGACACUGUUUACUCAUCUUACCAACCUCUUCCAGACAGGACUCUACCGAGAGGUCCCUCUAGGUUUAAUCCAAGAAUAGAGGAGAGAAGUGGCUACUUUAUUGGCCUUGGUUCUCCCAAAGAGUCAGCUGUGGCUCCAAUUGGUCCAGCCUCUCCCAUGUCUACUUCUGCCCUGUAUAAUCUCUGGGACAGCAGUCCCGGCCACUGUCUGGACAUUCUAUGGCCUUCAUGAACGGGGAAACAGGGCCUCUGAGGAAAGUAAAGCAGUUGGACUUGGUACCACACAGACCAGCAGCUCCCUAGAGUCUCCCCCUCUGAGCCAAGCCCCUGGGUGUUCAGGCUGAGCUGCAGUUGUGGGGAGUGGGUAGAAGACAUGCAGGGUGCACUAGGUACCAUGUGCAGGAAGCAGAUGUGAGCGGAGAGGGCCAGGGAACAGGGAAGAGGCCAGCACCCGGAGUUUUGUUUUUGUUACUUUAGCUGCCAUGCCAAUUUGUGGGUAUGGGUCUUCUCCAGGGAAGCAAGCAGCCUAGAGGCAGCCUGCUCUUCUCCCAGGGUUCCUUUGGGUUCUCAGAAGCCCCUUCCCGGAAUGUGUGGAAAUGUUGAGUGCUACCUGAGACGCCAGAGACGGUAGCUUAGGGUGGGCUUUCCGAGGACAGGGUGCAUUUUCUGUAUGUAUUGUUUGUGGUUUUGGUUUGACUCUGAGACAGGGUCGCACUAUGUAGCCCCGGCUGGCCUGGAACUAGUUAUGUAGAUGAGGCUGGCUUCAAACUCAGAGAGGUCUACCUGUCUCUGCCUCCCGAAUGCUGGAAUGAAAUGCUGUGGUACCACACCUGGCUGUCUUCUAUACUCUGAUCUGCUGACCUGGGAGCUUUGCUGGCUCUGGACAGAUGCCCAUCUUCAAAGGCAGGCCACUCCCCAGAGCUGGCAGGUAAUACUAUGUGUGGUGCCCAUCACUACCCCUUCCCCAGUCUGGGCCACUAUCCACCUGUCCCCCAGUCACUCCAAGGCAGGAAUUAGGCAUAGCAGUGAGCCCAGUGCCCCUGGAAGCUAUCCAUACUGGAUGAUCCUGUCUUUCACUUGCCCAUAGUGCCUCACCGCGGUGCUCUCUGGUGUGUGGCCCUGUGUGAUGUGAGGUGUCCCCUCUUGUCUGUGAGCAACAAACGCCCUUUCUACGGCAGGCAUCUGAGCUGGAGGUGUAACUCAGUGAUAGAAUACUUGCUUAGCAUAUGCAAGCCCCGGAACUGGCGCCUAGCAUCCCCCCAACUAAAUCAAUGGGGGCAGGGGUCCUGUGAUCUGUUUUAGCCUUAAGUGGAUAAUAACAAACCAUCUUAAAACAAAUAAUCUAACCAGAAUGUGGUCUCUGCAUGGUCAGCAUGCUUAGGCUUUGACUGUGGCAGUGGCUGCCGCAGCGGAGGACAUGGGAGCAUUUUGUCCUGCCCACCUUGGUAUUGCCCCAUGGCUAGUUAAGGAGCAUUCAGGAGGCAGAUGCCAGACAGAGGUGGCUGUCCUGACCUCAGCUCACCUCUCCCCUUUGAUAUACAGUCUAUGCUCCCAGAUGUCUUAUGAAUUCCUGGCUUCGCUUCCUUAGCCACCGGUCUUCAAGGAGUCUCUUGUUCAGACCCAGAGGGUCACCUACCCUGGCCUGCAGGGCAUGUGGCUCUCGAGGGUCAGCUUUGUUUCACUGAACCCUGGACCUGAGGUUGAAACCCUACUGUGGACCUUCUAAUGAACAGGAUAAGUGCAUCCUGGCCACAGUCAGGACUUACCAUCCAAGAGCUCUUCCUAGAUCCUGCCACCUCUGUGGUCACUUAAUGGCCUGGGGCCAAGUUGUAUGCGGUGGUUUGAAGAGGAAUGGCCCCCGUGCGCUCAUAUAUUUGAAUGUUUGAUUCCUGGCUGAUGGGCUGUUGUGGAAGAAUCUGGGAAUGUAGCCUUGUUGGAGAAGAACAUGGCCAGGAUGUUGAUGUCGCAGAACUGUGAGCGCCGCCACUGCCGGCGCGUCUUGAUACCCACCUUGUGGAGUUUGUCAAAGAUGAAGUUGCUCUUGCGGAAGAUGAAGAGGUGGAUGAGGUUGACGAGGAUGAUGAGGUUCAUGAAGCAGAGCAGGACAAUGUCCACACCUGCAAUGAUCCGCUGCAGUUGCACGGAUGGCAGCUUGCAGCUGACACGCACCGUGGGCCCAGCGCUACCCACUGGCCCGUCAGCUGAUCCCUAAAGCCACAGAAGGUUGCAUGGUUUUCUCUCUGCAAAUUUGUCUCCCACCCUGUAUCAAGCCAAUCCCUACGACCAGCCGAGCUGCAAGCUGGACAAGUGAGUGGAAAAACCCCCUGACUCCCACAGGCACAUCCAGUGGGGCCAAACUCCUCCUUUGCUGGCCUGUGUCUGGAGAGGCACAUGGUGCUUCCGAUGGCACAGCUGAUACCAAAGGACCUAGAGGAGUGCAGGUGUCCACGCAUGGCUGGGUACCACAGGGUGGUGAUGCUGUGGAUUCGUCGUGCUGGGCCUGAACUGGGCAGGAAGUCAGGUACCCAGACACUACAGUGGCUGCACGGAGCUCUCUGACUGAGGCCCCUCUCGUGGGAUUUCCCAGGGGUGCUGAGCCUUGCCCAGGUAAGUACAGGUGUUCACCAAGGAGACACACAAAAACCUGGUCCAUUUCAAGGCAGACAGGGAUAUCUCUGGGGAGUGCAGUUGAAGGAUCCUUUCCCCAGGGCAUGGUAAUGUGUAUACCUCGGCUCCUGGGCACGCUGCUGUUCACGAGAGUGCACUGGGGUUCCUAGCCAAGGACACUGCUUGCCAGUCCAGCACUGACGCUGCCUACCCCGUCACAGUGGCAUGGAGUCACAGUAACCACAGAGCACCGAGUGCGUGUUGGAGCCUCCAGAAAAGCAGGUCUAAAUGGGUAUGAGCACAGACAGGGUUGGGCUGCACUUGAGCCCUAGACACAGCUCCAGCCCACUCCUAGGGUCCAGCCUACAUACAGCCCAGCUCACUUAUGCCUCUGUCACUUGUAGAAGGAAGAAAACCUUUCAGGGGAUCUCUGGUUCUGCUGCGGCUGCUGCCUCUGGCCAGCUCAUAGCUACCACUCUCCUCUCAGCUCCCCCAACCCCAGGACAGGUACAAAGCCUUUCAAACUCCUUCAUGGUGGAAUGACCGCUCCCAAGAUGACCGUAUUGUGAUUUCUGGGCCUUGUGACUGUGUCGCUUUGUGUAGCAAGAAUGACUCUACAGCUGGGAUUAAGGACUUUAUGGGAGAUGAUCCUGGAUUACCUGAGUGGGACAAUGGAAUCGCAAGAGUCCCUUUCAAAGGCAGGCAGGGGUGGGUAGAGAAGGCCUGAGCCAAAUGACAUGGUGUAGUUAGGUCCUGAAAGGGGGGAAUGAGCUUGCUACUGGAAGCUCCGGAAAGACCAGCCCUGCCUGCAUUUUAUCCACAUUGUAAUACUCACUUCUGCAGAAAUGUGUGACAACCGUUUUUCUUAGUUUUUAAACGUGUGUGUGUGUGUGAGUAUGUAUGUGGGCGUAAUGUGUGCCAUGGCACAUGUGCAGAGGUCAGGGGACAACUGAUGGUAUUGGUUCUCUCCUCCUACCCUGUGGGUUCUAGCUCAGCCGUAUCUUUACUUGCUGAGCUAUCUCACCAGCCUCGGUUGUUUGCCUUUUGGUGUGUGUAAGGUGCUGGGGGUCAACCUACGACCUCCAGCACUCAGAGCAAGUGCUCUGCUGCCGAGCCACACCCUAGACUUGGACAUUGUUUGAAGCCACUGAGUUUGUGCUAGUCCGUUCCGCAGUGUGGGCAGAUAACAGGUGGCCCUGGCUUCUGGCAGGCUGACUGCCUCAUCUGUGUGUGUAGGUGGGAGUAGUACUCUAUCCUAGCACUCCCUGCAGUGCUAUGGGCGGAUACUUCUGAGUGCUGCAGGCCUUCCCAUACCUGGGACAGAAAGGGUUGACUCUCGGGGGGCCAGUGUCUGAGUGCCUCCACCCCACAGGCCCCCUAUGAGAUCCAUCUUGCUGGGUGCCCAGGAAAAGUCCAGAGGCCAGGUGCAGGACUCACCGGUGCUUAUGGGAACAGGGUAUUUUCAGCUGUCCUAUUUUAAAGAAGAGUACCAAGAACAGGACACAUACUGGGUAACACCCCACUUGUGUGAGCUGGAUGGUCACACCUAGGCAAUACCCAAAAGUCCCCCGAAGUCCCUGGGACCUGAUUAUUUGACCUAUCAGUCUGGGUCUGAGCAAUUGGUGACUCUUUGCCUUCUCCCCCCCCCCACUUCUGGACUUUGUGUAAGGGCCCCCCACUCCUGCCUGAGCGGCAGCGGAGCUACUUCACAGCAGUUCUGGCCCCUUCACCAGCUGGUCUCCGGACAGGAGUCCUCUGAGAUUUUCCAGGGAUGCCCCUCCACUGUGAGCUCUACCUCCAGGUCUGCUGGGUGGGGACCAGCAGCGCUGAGCUCAAGGAAAUUUAUGUUAGCACAGUGGAACCCACGACAAGGAGGGCAGACUCCUCCUGAGAGGGUAUCCACACGGCACCCUCUGCUGACGUUCAGGAUUGAAUGCCCCCAUAGGCAGAACCCGGGUGUACGCAGGAAAAAAAUGGAGGGACCGUUGGUCACACUGGUCACAGUACUAGCAGUGGGGUGGCUGGCUUAAAACAGCAGACACGUACCUCACAGAUCUGGAGACCAGAAGUCCAAAAUCCUUCAGGUAGGUCCCAGUCAGAGCCCUGGCACAGGGUCCUGAGUAUGCACCUGUCCUACCUUCUCCUAUGUUCUCACCAAGUGGUUCCCACACUCUGAUGGGCCUCGGGAGAAGGAACCAUUAAGGCACCCUUCUCCCAGACUCGGUUCUCUUGUGUCUGAGGUCCCUGGAUGCUUCUAGCUUCUGUGGGGGCAAAAGGAUGAUGAAGAGCCACAAGAAGCUACUGUACUGUUCUGAAUAUCAAUCAAAGGCAAGAGAAGCAGUCAAUGCUUCAAAAUUGUGCAGGAGGUCAGGGAGAACCAAGGGUAGGAUUAAGGCUGGUUGUUCAGUUUCUCUAUCUUUGGAAAAGAGCAGGAUUACUGGUCAAGUAUAGCUGCUUGUCCAUGCUGCAGCGGGCCAGAACUCCUCCUCAUACUUGUGGUAGAACUAGUUUAGCAUGGGUAGAUGGGCUUAGACAUGUGGACCUCAGGAGGGCACAUGCAUUUCUGAGAGAAAGCACAGGAGGUUUGAAGGAACAGGUCCAGAGUCAGGGCUGACUCCGGGGACAUCCUGAUGGUUCUAGGCCCGGCUGGAUGUAGGGAGUUUGGUGUUCUCACAGGUGACAAGCCGGGUUGGCAGUGUCUGAGGGUAGGGCUAACGUCAAGGGAUUCACCGAAAUGGCCCAAUCCAUGUAUAUACCCACAUCUGAGGUUACCCUACUGUGUGCGUUAUAAGGAGAGCUGUGGUCCCAAGUAUCUGCUGAACUCCUAGCCUGUACCUGCGGACUGACAGAGUCUGUGCAGAUGUAAAUGAGAAUGGAGUAGAGUAACCCCAACCCCACGGUAUCCUGGUGACUCAAGGGACGGAAACAGACAUGGGGAAAUCCCCAAUAGCGGGCAGACACGAAGCUUGGGUGAUAAAGCAACAGGCCAUCCGGAAUACCAGAGAUGGUCUGCAGCUACCAGCUAAUCAGGAAAAAAGAAAGGGUCCUUGUCAUCUCUAGGGCAUUCAGAGAGAACUCAGCCCUGCCCACACCUGGAUUUUGGGCUUCUGGCCCCCAGAACUGCGAGGCGCAUGUCUGUUGUUGUAAGCCAGCCACCCCAUGGCUGGCAUUGUGACCAGCUGGGCCAAAGGCCCCUUUGUGCACACACCUGGGUGUGACGGGAGGCCCCACUGUGCCCUCAUUCUUCUGUCUUGCUUAUGGGGACAUCUAAUCCUGAGUGUCAGAGCCUUUGGUGUGCAAGGAUGGAGACCAGGAGAACUUCCUCCACCCUUGAGGCAGUGUUAAGCAGUCUGAAGAACGCCUCCUCUCAGGUUGGACAUCUCUAGGUCCUGGAGUUUCCUGAAAGGUAAGGCACCUGUGGAGGAUGGUAGAGAAAUGGGUAUCAAAAUACCUGCUCUGGUUGCCCAGGAGCUGCCGAGGGCAGAGCGACUUGCCCCUCCAGAGGAACUCUAGAGCCCUGGCUGCCUUCCUCCUGCUGUGAAACUGGCACCUCUGGGCCACACAUUAGCCCGGUGUAUGCGGAUACCCAGACUUGAGUCCUUGCCUCAGCUCAGCCCCAGGUGGGAUAUGCUAUUUCCUGUUUAUGUGUGAAACCAGAAGGCAGCUCCCUUAGUGCCUCCUUUGGCUCACUGGUCUGUUCUGGUCUUGUCGCCUUAGGCAGGGCCCACCGUGCAUGGGCACUUUCCUGAGUAUGACCACAGUUGCACCCACAUGCUCCCUCUUACACCUGGCCCCCGUGACUUAACACUUCAGUCUCUUUCCUGACCUGCCCCAGCUUCCACCUACACCGCCUUUGCCAGCCAAGGGUGGGCCUCUUGGGCCAUCAUUGCUUGAUGUCCUCCAGGGUCAGUCAUGUCUGGCCUCUUCUGCAGAAAACCUUUGGAGGGGGUACUUCAGAGCUCCUCAGGAGUACCCUCACUUUCCUAUACUACACGCCCCGUGAAUACCGUGAAGCAUCAUGGGAUUUUCACUAUCCCUGGGCAGUGGCUCUCAACACUUACAACAUCCUUCUCUGGUCCUCAUUGGCUACUCCUCCAAGCCUCAGUCCACAGUGUGACAUUCUACAACUCAGACCCCAUGUCCCAAUGACAGGCCUACUCUCCUCAUGGCUUGAGGCUGAAGGAAUGCAAAGCCAGAACAACAAUAAAACAGAGGAGGGCUCUCCAGGAGGCCCAGUCUCCCUUCAACCCCUCAUGCCAGACUGAGGUGCUGCCCAAGGUCUGGGAUGAAACCCGAGGGCAAUGCCUCACCGCCUGGCCAGGUGGGUGCGGUCCAGCAGGAGCUAGCUGCCUGGCGCUGAGAGCGAGCGCGCUCGGAGCGCUGGGCGCUAAACACCUGCGGUCGCGCGCCCUGCCUCACCUGCGAAGUUCUUGGUGAAGACCAGGGUGACCAGCAGGAUGGGUACCAGCACGGUGCCGAUGGUGACCACGCGGUCGAACGGCAGUUCCAGCUUGAGCUGCAGCAGCAGCGCGGCCAGCGCGCCCGCCUUGUCGUCCUGCGAGCC